GACGAACGCUGGCGGCGUGCUUAACACAUGCAAGUCGAACGAAGUGGCGAACGGCUGAGUAACACGUUGGCAACCUGCCCUCCUCUUGGGGAUAGCCUCGGGAAACCGGGAUAAUAUCCUAUACAGAAGGAUGGCCCGCGGCCUGUUGGCUUGUUGGUGGGGUAGAGGCCUACCACGGCAAUGAUGGGUAGCUGGGUUGUGAGACCGACCAGCCAGAUUGGGACUGCGACACGGCCCAGACUCCUACUGGAGGCAGCAGUGGGGAAUCUUGCACAAUGGGCGAAAGCCUGAUGCAGCGGCGCCGCGUGCGGGACGAAGGCCUUCGGGUUGUAAACCGCUAUCAGCAGGGACGCGGUACCUGCAGAAGAAGCCCCGGCUAACUACGUGCCAGCAGCCGCGGUAAUAC
rnacentral:rRNA from 1 species